CACGAAACGUUUGUUCGCCACCACAGCAACCUAACUAAAUGUAUUAUAUUUUUUGUAUUUUUAUAAUUGAUGAUAAAAAUACGCAAAUAUUUAUUGUUUUUAUCAUAAAUCACAAAUAUACAAUAAAUAUAAUGUACUUAGUUAGGUUGCUGUGGCCUGUGGUGGCGAACAAACGUUUCGUG